GGCUUUUGCUGGUCGCCGGCUUCUUAGAGGGACUGCGGUUGCGUCUAGCCCGCGGAAGUUUGAGGCAAUAACAGGUCUGUGAUGCCCUUAGAUGUUCUGGGCCGCACGCGCGCUACACUGACAGAGCCAGCGAGUUUUUCACCUUGGCCGGAAGGUCUGGGUAAUCUUGUGAAACUCUGUCGUGCUGGGGAUAGAGCAUUGCAACUAUUGCUCUUCAACGAGGAAUUCCUAGUAAGCGUGAGUCAUCAGCUCGCGUUGAUUACGUCCCUGCCCUUUGUACACACCGCCCGUCGCUACUACCGAUUGAAUGGCUUAGUGAGGUCUUCGGAUUGGCUUCGGAGGACCGGCAACGGCCCACUGUUGCUGAGAAGUUGAUCAAACUUGGUCAUUUAGAGGAAGUAAAAGUCGUAACAAGGUUUCCGUAGGUGAACCUGCGGAAGGAUCAUUACCGAAUUGUCAACAUGAGUUGUUGCUGGCCCUCAAAUGGGGGCAUGUGCACGCUCUGUUCGCACAUCCACUCACACCUGUGCACCCUCCGUAGUUCUGUGGCCUGGGGGCUCUGCCCUCCUGCUGUGGUUCUAUGUCUUUACACAUACACUCUGUAAUGAAGUCUCAUGGAAUGUAUGCCGCGUUUAACGCAAUACAAUACAACUUUCAGCAACGGAUCUCUUGGCUCUCGCAUCGAUGAAGAACGCAGCGAAAUGCGAUAAGUAAUGUGAAUUGCAGAAUUCAGUGAAUCAUCGAAUCUUUGAACGCACCUUGCGCCCUUUGGCCAUUCCGAAGGGCAUGCCUGUUUGAGUAUCAUGAACACCUCAACUCUCAUGGCUCGCCAUGAUGAGCUUGGAUUUGGGGGUCUUGCUGGCCUGUGGUCGGCUCCUCUCAAAUGGAUCAGCUUGCCAGUGUUUGGUGGCAUCACAGGUGUGAUAACUAUCUGCGCUUGUGGUUUUCCAUCAGAUAACCUUCAGUGAUGGAGGUUCGCUGGAGCUCAUAAACGUCUCCCCUAAGCGGGGACAGCCCUUUGAAUGUUUGAUCUCAAAUCAGGUAGGACUACCCGCUGAACUUAAGCAUAUCAAUAAGCGGAGGAAAAGAAACUAACAAGGAUUCCCCUAGUAACUGCGAGUGAAGCGGGAAGAGCUCAAAUUUAAAAUCUGGCGUGCCUCUGGUCGUCCGAGUUGUAGUCUGGAGAAGCGUCUUCCGUGUUGGACCGUGUAUAAGUCUCUUGGAACAGGGCGUCAUAGAGGGUGAGAAUCCCGUCUUUGACACGGACUACCAAUGCUAUGUGAUGCGCUCUCAAAGAGUCGAGUUGUUUGGGAAUGCAGCUCAAAAUGGGUGGUAAAUUCCAUCUAAAGCUAAAUAUAGGCGAGAGACCGAUAGCGAACAAGUACCGUGAGGGAAAGAUGAAAAGCACUUUGGAAAGAGAGUUAAACAGUACGUGAAAUUGCUGAAAGGGAAACGCUUGAAGUCAGUCACGUCUGCCAGGACUCAGCCUUGCUUCUGCUUGGUGCACUUUCUGGUUUGAUGGGCCAACAUCAAUUUUGACCGUUGGAGAAAGGCUUUGGGAAUGUGGCACCUUUGGGUGUGUUAUAGCCCCUUGUCAUAUACAACGGUUGGGAUUGAGGACUGCAGCACGCCUUUAUGGCCGGGGUUCGCCCACGUACGUGCU
rnacentral:rRNA from 1 species